CUCGGCAGACGGGUGAGUAAUAACGAGGAACUUUCCUCCAAGUGGAGCAUACCUCCGAGAAAUCGGAAAUAAUUCCCCAUAAUACCGCAAGGUUAAAGAUUUAUCGCUUGGAGAGAGGCUUCGUUCCUAUCAGCUUGUUGGUGAGGUAAUGGCUCACCAAGGCGACGACGGGUAGCUGGUCUAAGAGGACGAUCAGCCACAAGGGAACUGAGACACGGUCCCUACUCCUACGGGAGGCAGCAGUUGGGAAUAUUGCGCAAUGGACGAAAGUCUGACGCAGCGACGCCGCGUGAUCGAUGAAGUCUUUCGGGAUGUAAAGAUCUCUUCUCUGGGAAGAUUAUGACGGUACCAGAGGAAUAAGCAUCGGCUAACUACGUGCCAGCAGCCGCGGUAAUACGUAGGAUGCGAGCGUUAUCCGGAAUUAUUGGGCGUAAAGGGCUUGUAGGCGGUUUUAUAAGUUUUCAAUUAAAUCUUGAGGCUCAACCUCAAAAUCUUUGAAAAUACUGUAAGACUAGAGGAUAAUCGGGGUAAAUGGAAUUCCCGGUGUAGCAGUGAAAUGCGUUGAUAUCGGGAGGAACACCAAUGGCGAAGGCAGUUUACUAGGUUAUAUCUGACGCUGAGGAGCGAAAGCGUGGGUAGCGAAAAGGAUUAGAUACCCUUGUAGUCCACGCUGUAAACAAUGGACACUAGU
rnacentral:rRNA from 1 species